UGGGGAAUAUUGCGCAAUGGGGGAAACCCUGACGCAGCAACGCCGCGUGAAGGAUGAAGGUUUUCGGAUCGUAAACUUCUUUGAUUGGGGACGAAUAAUGACGGUACCCAAGGAACAAGCCACGGCUAACUACGUGCCAGCAGCCGCGGUAAUACGUAGGUGGCGAGCGUUGUCCGGAAUUACUGGGUGUAAAGGGCGUGUAGGCGGGAAUGUAAGUCAGAUGUGAAAACCCAUGGCUUAACUGUGGGACUGCAUCUGAAACUAUGUUUCUUGAGUGAUGGAGAGGAAAGCGGAAUUCCUAGUGUAGCGGUGAAAUGCGUAGAUAUUAGGAGGAACACCAGUGGCGAAGGCGGCUUUCUGGACAUUAACUGACGCUGAGGCGCGAAAGCGUGGGGAGCAAACA
rnacentral:rRNA from 1 species